AGGAAUUAUUUUCCGAUUCGGAAAACAUCUCAAACGAUGGCCACGAAUUUGAUUCCGCGUUGCGUAUUUCAUCAAAUUACUAUAGAGAAAAGAUUAAAGAAUUUGCAACGAAAGAAAUGCAUCGCGCUAAUAGAAAUUCGGCACCGGCAUUUUUCGAUAGCGUAGAAAUUCAAAAGUUUUUCAGCCAAAUAGGAGAAAGCUCUAGGGUUCCUGCGAGUAUGAACAGAUCUAAUAGUACUGGAUUGUUUCAAGGAAACGUUGAUAAUUAU